GCUAAGAAGCAUGGGGACGGAUACGUAAUACGGAUACGAUACGGUACGGGGACGUAAAUACGUCAUUUUUCCAAAAAUCAAGAUACGAUACGUCAAAAAUACGUUUUAGUUUUUUUAUUUAAAAUAUAUUUUAUAUAUAUUAUAAAUUCAUAAUUCACCAAGAAUAUAAGUAAAACACUACUAAUUCAUCAUAACAAAGUUCCAAAUAGCAAAUAAUGAAAUAAAACACAAUAAAAUGUUAGUAGCCCAGAUCACUCAUCAUCGUCUUUCUCCUCCUCAUCCUCCUCUUCCUCUUCCCUCAAAUCUUCAUCAUCAUUGAAGACAACUCUCUCCAAUUCUGGCUGCCAAUUCAAAUAAAAAACAUAAAUCAAACUUCAAUUCAAAUAAAUCAACUGCCCAAUUCGAAAUUAAACUUCAAUCCAACAAAACCCAAAGCUAAAUUCGAAAUACCCACUGCCCAAUUCGAUGCCCAAGCCAAAUAAAAGAGAGGAGAGUGCGAUUAGGGUCAGAGCAAUACCUUUACAGCAGCGGGGCGCAGGGCAGCGCGACGGCGGGCUGGCGCAGGGAGGCGCGACGGCGAGCGGCGGGCUGGCGCAGGGAGGCGCGACGGCGAGCGGCGGGUGGGUCAGAGAGGAGAGUGCGAACGUAAAUGGUGAGUGAGGGAGGCGCGAAUUAGGGUUUU
rnacentral:lncRNA from 1 species